GUGUGUCCCAAGCUUCGGAGCCCUCUGUCCCUGAGCAGCCCGCCCGCCCUGUAAUCAGGUGUGGGGAGGCUGCAGCGUUGCAGCCGGCUGCUUUAGCCAUCCAGCUGGUGGGAGUGACCCCUCCCUGUCCCGUCAGAGGGUGCAGGUUGAGGUGCUGUUUGUGUGUGGGGUGACCUCCCCGCUCGGUGGGUCGAGGUAGCUCCCUGGGCUUCCAAAGACGAGACGUUGGUGAUGUUCUGCUGCUGCCGGGCGGGCCAGCCUGUAACUCAGGCGUUGGCGGGAGCCUCGUGCUCCGCGGGGCUUCUUGAAGAGGGUGAGGUGUGGGGGUACCGUCCUGUAGGCAGGGCUGUGUGUGCCCCCCGUGUGUGCUUGGUGAGCUGCGUUCUGAGAGACCCCCUGUACUCAGGUGGGAAUGUGGCCCCGGCCUUUCAGAGGCGCGGGGCCGUGAGAUGCGGGGUGGGGCUUGCGCCCUCCCUGGAAUCGGGGCUGGGAUCCCGACUGCGGCCUUUGGCCGUGCCGCCCCGCUGCCUGGCUGCUGAGAGUUGCUCCUGCCGCUGGGGGGGAAACCGAGCUCUGUGGCUCCAGGGGUGUUGUCCACCCGCCUGUAAUCAGGGUCUGGGUGCGCGAGCGUUUGUGCUCUGCUGGCAGCCUGUGUGGGGUGACCGCCCCGCUAGCGGGGUGUGGGUCGAGGUGCCCCGGACUGGGAGAGAAGGAGCCUCCCUCGGCCGUAGGGAUGGGGGCUGCCCUGUAAGUCAGGGAGCAUCUGUGUCCCGGAGUCCCAGGCCCUUUUCGAUGGCGGCAGUGGCCGGGGGUCCCCUGUAAGCAGGGAAGCUGACUCUUUGGCUGCUGCUUUUUGUGUGCCCAGCCCCAUUUGCCCAGUCUGCCCGCCUCUGUGAUCCCCCGCAGCACUGGCUGGAAGUCCGCCGCGUGUCAGUGAGGAGCUGCUGCAGAAGGAAGAAGAAGAAGCGGCGUGGGGACCUGGGAGGCAGGAGCAAGCAAGAAGAGGAAGCGGAAGCGUGCAGAUGCAGGAGCAAGCAAGAAGAGGAAGCGGAAGCGUGCAGAUGCGGGGGGGAAGGAGAGAGGCUCCCUGGGCAAAGCACCUGUCCCGUUAGCAGGGGCACAGUCACGUUUGAGUUGAGAGCUGCCGGCGCCUUUGGUGACCAGGCUGGCGUUGUGCUGGGCGACCUCCCCGUAAGCGGGGCUCGGGUCUUUGCUGUAGUUGGCCUUUUGCCUUGCUGCUCCUUUGGCUGCCUGGGGAGCGUGGCCCCCUGUAACGGAGGGCGAGAGCCACCUCUCCGCACCUGAGUGGGAAAUGGAGCUCGCCGGACCCCG
ensembl:lncRNA